AUGAGAACAGAAAGGAAACUCAAUUCGCAAUCAAGAUUUCCCACACAGCAGGGACAGGAUGGGGAGGAUUCCUGUGCAGAGCCAUGCAGAAACACUUCCCCACACUCACAGCAGAUGUCCUGGAGCUCUCCUGAGAAUUCUGAGAAGGGGAGAGAUGGUUGACUACUAACUCUGGAGACCUGAGAGACACCCUCAUGAGCCCUCCCACUUACUUGCUGUGGGAUGUUGGGAAAGCCUUACUCCUCACAAGCAGAGAUCCUCCUCACUUGUACAGUAAAACAACUCACUCCCCAGAUUCUCUUCCCCAGAACUCUUAAGAAAUGAUGAAUUAGUGAACUUUAAAACAACCCAAACUAAGGUUUCUAAAAAAUAAUGUGUGGGCCAGACAUGGUGUCACAUGCCUUUAAUCCCUGAACAUAGGAGCCAGAGUCAGAAGGAUCACUGAGAUCAAGGCCAGUCUGCUCUAUAGGGUGAGAUCCAAGACAGCCAGAGCUACACAGAGUAAUACUAUCUCAAAAACAAAAACAAACAAACAAACAAACAAAAACAAAUCAAACAAAAAGAAAAAGAAAAAAGAAGAAAAGAGAAAGAAAGGAGGAAAAAUCAUGUGGGUAUGUGUGUUUUCAAGGACAUAGUCUAAAGUCUGAGUGCAGAAGAUCUCUUGGGUAUAGCACGUGGGAAAGCCACAGGAGACAGCUAAGACUUCAAACCUGGCUUUCAAUAUGGACACUCUCGGCCAGCAUCGUGAUUCUUCUGAUUCUUCAAAUUCUUUUGUUUUAAUGACAAAGUUGGCAAAGAAGACAGUACCAUCAAAUUAAUAAUUACAUGAGCUCAUUAUGUUCAGAACAGCCUGAUGCUGACAGCCUGGGAGUGACGCUUUACAGACAAGGGUACUACUUUCCAAGGUCUUCUAAAGUAUGUGGUCCACAUGGAGCAGGUGUCUCACCUGUGCCAAAUAUUGUGCUCAGAGACUCAAGUCUGUUUUUGGAAAAAUCUAAUUAUAACCACAAAGGAACUCUGGAUCUCUUCUAUCCUCAUGACAAACACACAAAUACACAGGAAGUUCCCCCAAUAUACAAGUCUGUGAACAUUGAGGACAUAGAAGACAUGCCCUACCUAUGAUGAAUUGAGGAAUCAAGUACUUGUUAAUGCAGGUCCAGAGCCAGACACACGCACACAGUAUGGACAGAAUGACGGAACCACAAGGAGUCUGAAAGCACCUUAGCUCCUUGUGCCUCAUCCCACUGCUGAGCCUGACUCUGCAACUCCCCAUCACCCACUCCCUAAAAGACAAUCAAAUCUGUUCUCAACUGUUCACAACAGUCAGAUCCUGACUUUCCCCACUUCCCCUUCCUCCUUUUUACCAGAUGUUUAGAAUAGUAUUAUGUUUAAAUUCCCCCAAACCCAUGACAUAUUUAUUUUAGUUGAAUAUUAAAUCACUUUUACGACCCAAUAGGGCUAUUUUUCUCUAUCCGUCAGACAUACCUUUUAAGGACAGAAUUCACACCCUAGGGAGAAGGGAGAAAACACAGUGAAUUACAUGAUCUGCAUGUCCUUGCAAAUCCUGCUCACACUCUCACUGGCUGCAGAGACAAAGUCAAAACAGAAUCAAGCCAGUCACCACACUUCUCCAUGACAUGAUACAAUUAUGAUGCAUGGCUCUUUACUUGAUUUACAUGUAAACUAGUGGACUAUUUUCUGUCUCAUACUAUAAGGAUUUGGAGACAGAAGACAAACAAACAAUGCUUUGAAAGCUUAUGUAGGUUUUGCUGUGCCUAUACCUAAAAACAUAAACAUAUAACUCUUCAUGCUGCAUGUAAGCUAUCCAGUACUGUACUUGCAACUAACAUUAUGAGAAGAUGAUUUCUAAAUUAUUUUAGUCAUUCAGAUACAAUUUAACAUAUUAGUAAUGAAAAAGCCACAAGGACCAGAAGCUGAAAUUGUCUGAUACUUAAAAUCAACUAACCAUAUCUGUCUGUCUCUUUUCCUCUCUCUGUAACUGUGUUGGCAGGAGAAGAAGUGAAUCUGUGUCUCUCAAUUUGACAAACUGUUGAAACAUUGACCCGAAAGAAAUGGAAUUUUUUCAGGAAUCUCACACUGGGGGAAGGAAAACAGCUCUAGCCAUGGGGCUAGUGGUCUCCUAAAAAGAUUUCAAGCACUUUUAAUUACUUGUCAGACCACCUUAGCAUAUGAGACUGUAACCCAAAUAAUGAUAGGAGAAUGAUUGUCAGGACCACACCUUGACCUGUACUACUCUCGUGCGUAUAUCCUUGACUCUCAACUUAAAUAUUGAACUCACUUAGGGAAACUGAAGAUGGGUAGAGGGUUUUAUUAUUUUUUUCCUUUGUUUUUUUCAAGACAGAGUUUCUCUGUGUAGCCUUGGAGCCUCUCCUAGAACUUACUCUGUAGACCAGGCUGGCCUCGAACUCACAGAGAUCUCUCUGCUGAGUGCUGGGAUAAAAGGUGUGCACCACCACCACCCAGCACAGGUGUUUUGUUUUGUUUUUAAAUCUCUCUGACCAUCUUUGAAAUUUGGCCACAAAAAUAAAUAUCCUUUUCCUGAUUU